UGAACCAGAUCCCGAUCCCGAUCCAGAUCCAGAUCCAGAUCCAGAUCCAGGUCUGCCUGAUCCCGAUCCCGGUUUGCCCGAUCCAGAUCCAGAUCCCGGUUUGCCCGAUCCAGAUCCAGAUCCGGGUCUUCCCGAUCCUGAUCCAAUUCCCCCUUGGGAUCCAGGCCGGCCUGACCCGGAUCCGUAGGAUCCUGAGCUGGAUCCCCCAUAGGAUCCCGAAUUUCCGUAGGAUCCUAAAUUCCCAGAGGAUCCUGACCCUCCAUAGGAUCCCGAAUUCCCGGAGGAUCCCGAUCCUCCGUAAGAUCCCGAAUUCCCGGAGGAUCCGGAGCCUCCUCCAUAGGAUCCCGAAUUCCCGUAGGAUCCCGAAUUUCCAUAAGAUCCCAAAUUCCCGGCGGAUCCCGAUCCUCCGUAGGAUCCCGAAGUCCCGGCGGAUCCCGAAUUUCCAUAGGAUCCCGAAUUUCCAUAAGAUCCCGAAUUCCCGUAGGAUCCCGAAUUCCCGGCAGAUCCCGAGUUCCCGCAGGCUCCGGAUCCCAGCUGGGGGCUGAGGAAUCCCAGGGGAUCCUUGCAGGGAUCGACCCCGGCCGGGAGCGGAUCCGGAGCGGGGCCGGAGCCGGAGCCGGAGCCUGGGGGGGAGGAGCCCAGUUCAGACCAGUUUGGGCCAGUUUGGACCAGUUCAUACCAGUUCAUCCCAGUUCAUCCCAGUCCAUCCCAGUCCAUCCCAGUUCCUGUCCCAGUCCAUCUCAGUCCAUCCCAGUUCAUCCCAGUUCAUCCCAGUUCAUCCCAGUUCAUCCCAGUCCAUCCCAGUUCAAUCCCAGUCCAUCCCAGUUCAAUCCCAGUCCAUCCCAGUCCAUCCCAGUUCAUCCCAGUCCAUCCCAGUUCAAUCCCAGUUCCAUCCCAGUCCAUCCCAGUCCUUCCCAGUUCAAACCAGUCCAUCCCAGUUCAUCCCAGUCCAUCCCAGUUCAAUCCCAGUCCAUCCCAGUCCAUCCCAGUCCCUCCCAGUUCAAUCCCAGUCCAUCCCAGUUCAAUCCCAGUCCAUCCCAGUCCAUCCCAGUUCAUCCCAGUUCAAUCCCAGUCCAUCCCAGUUCAUCCCAGUCCAUCCCAAUUCAAUCCCAGUUCAAUCCCAGUUCAUCCCAGUUCAUCCCAGUCCAUCCCAGUUCAUCCCAGUCCAUCCCAGUUCAUCCCAGUCCAUCCCAGUCACCACAGAUUCCGUACCCGUCAUUCCCAGUCCCUCCCAGUUCCUCCCAGUUCCUGUCCCAGUUCACGUCCCAGUUUCCCUCCCACUCUCCAUCCCAGCCCAUCCCAGUCCAUCCCAGUUUAUCCCAGUCCAUCCCAGUCCAUCCCAGUCCCCCCCAGUCCAUCCCAGUCCAUCCCAGUUCCCUCCCAGUUUCCCCAGUCCCACCUGGGGCUGGUGUUGGCCGAAGGGUGGAAGGAGGCGAACAUCCGGAUGGGGGGGCUGGGGGAGGGGACCCCAAAAAUCACCCAAAAACAACCAAAAAUCAUCACCCCAAAAAACACCCAAAAAUCAACCAAAAAUCACCCCAAAAUCCACCCAAAACCACCCAAAUUCACCCCAAAAAUCACCCAAAAACAACCAAAAAAUCACCCCAAAAUCACCCAAAAACAACCAAAAAUCCACCCCAAAAAUCACCAAAAAAUCACCCCAAAAAUCAUCCAAAAUCACCCCAAACCACCCAAAUUCACCCAAAAAAUCACCUAAAAUCACCCAAAAAUCACCCAAAUUCACCCAAAAAUCACCCAAAAACAACCAAAAAUCACCCCAAAAUCACCCAAAAACAACCAAAAAUCCACCCCAAAAUCACCAAAAAAUCACCAAAAAAUCACCCCAAAAAUCAUCCAAAAUCCACCCAAAAAUACCCAAAAAUCCACCCAAACAUCAUCCAAAAAGACUCUAAAACACCCAAAAAUCACCCCAAAAAAUCACCCAAAUUCACCCAAAAUCACCCCAAAAUCACCAAAAAAAUACCCAAAAUUCACUCAAAAUCCACCCAAAAAUCCCCCAAAAUCACCCAUAAAUCCAUCCCAAAAUCACCCAAAAAUCACCCCAAAAACACCCAAAUUCACCCCAAAAAUCACCUAAAAAUCACCCAAAAAUCACCCAAAAUCACCCAAAAAUCACCCAAAAAUCACCCAAAAAACAUCCAAAUUCACAAAAAAAAUCAUCCCAAAAAUCACCCAAAAUCACCCCAAAAAUACCCAAAAUUCACUCAAAAUCCACCCAAAAAUCAUCACCCAAAACCCACCUAAAAUCACCCCAAAAAUCACCCAAAUUCACCCCAAAUCACUCAAAACCACCCAAAAAUCACCCCAAAAAAAUCACCAAAAAUCACUGAAAAAUCCACCCGAACCCGCCCAAAUCCACCCAAAAAUCAUCACCCAAAAAACCCCAAAAAUCACCCAAAAUUCACUCAAAAUCACCCAAAAUCACCCGAAUUCACCCCAAAAAUCAUCACCCCAAACCACCCCGAUUCACCCCAAAAAUCACCCCAAAAACAUCCCAAAACACCCAAAUUCACGCAAAAACAGCCCAAAACACCCCAAAUUCAUCAUCAAAAAACACCAAAAAAUCAAAAACACCCGAAAAUCACCCAAAAAAUCACCCAAAAUUCAUUCAAAAUCCAGUCAAAAAUUAUCACCCAAAAUCACCCAAAAAUCACCCAAAACCACCCCAAAAAUCACCCAAAAUCACCCAAAAAUCAUCACCCAGAAAUCACUCAAAAACACACAAAUAUCAGCCAAAAAUCACCCAAAAUCCCCAAAAAUCAUCACCCAAAAAACCCAAAAAUCACCCAAAACCACCCAAAAAUCAUCACCUCAGAAUCACCCGAAAAUUCACACAAAAUUCAGCCCAAAAUCGCCCAAAAUCCACUUAAAAAUUCCCCAAAAAGCCCCAAAUCCACCCAAAAAUUCCCCCUAAAAAACUUCAAAAUUCCCUCCAAAAUCGCCCCAAAAUCCACCCAAAUCCCCCUGAAAUUCCCCAAAUUUCUGCAAAACCU
ensembl:lncRNA